CAGUCGCCGCGGGAACACGGAGGGUGCAAGCGUUAUCCGGAUUUAUUGGGUUUAAAGGGUCCGUAGGCGGACUUAUAAGUCAGUGGUGAAAGCCUGUCGCUUAACGAUAGAACUGCCAUUGAUACUGUAAGUCUUGAGUAUAUUUGAGGUAGCUGGAAUAAGUAGUGUAGCGGUGAAAUGCAUAGAUAUUACUUAGAACACCAAUUGCGAAGGCAGGUUACCAAGAUAUAACUGACGCUGAGGGACGAAAGCGUGGGUAGCGAACAGGAUUAGAUACCCCUGUAGUCCCUGUCUCUUAUAU
rnacentral:rRNA from 1 species